AUUUCAGGAGAACCUCAAGAGGAUGGAUCUGGCCUGUGGAGAAGUCUGGGGCAGUAGAUGAGCUGGCUGGACUUCGAAUUGCAUAGAGCCAGCACAGGUCUAAUCACCAGUAAAGGAACACUGAAAGGAAGAAGAAACAGCUUCCCUGCAGGGAUGUCUGUGAGCUGCCACUCCAGGACUUUUACUGUAGGUACUCACCGAACACAACAUGUUUCCCAUCCAACCAGUCACACUUGGAGCACGUAAUGAAGAACUGGCAGCCGUUGGUACUCGGACCACUGUUUGCCUAGGGUUUGAGAAUAGCAAAAUACAACAAGUAUACUAUUUCAGACUGAACAAAACUGAAGGCAGACACAUAAAGAAGAGGUGUUGUUCAAGUAUCUAUUAUUUUUAGCUUAUUGCUAGACAAACCAAAGGAAAGAAAAUACAUAUCUGCAGGAGAGCACACUGUGCUGGGAUGUAGUAUGUCACCACCUCUGGUCACACUAGAAUGUGCAAGAGCCAUGUCACCAAAUAUUUAUUAUACUUCUACAAAGGCGUGUUCAAUACAAGACUGAGCCGAAGUCCAGACUUUAGAGCACACUCCUGAAAAAAGGCUGAAUGUUUUGGUGAGAAGUAUUUAUUGGCUGCAGCAUUACCCCAAGGAAAACUGAACACCAGAAACCAGGGCAAGAAAAAAAUCCAGCUGAUUUCUGGUUUUUGGGAGGUUUCCUCAGAAUAAAAAUUUUAAAAAAAUUAAUUAUCAUGAUAAGAAAAGUAACAACUGUAUUGGCACAGGACUCACAGGAACAAUGGGAUGCAGAUGUGAAAUUUUAUUCACACCCAAGUACAAAACCCAGAGCAUUUGCACUGUGUUAAGAAAACAUCUCUGCAACACUGAAUGCCACUUGUGAUAUUGAUAACCAGGAGCUACUAAAGCAAGUUUCUGUCCUGAUGAGUGAACUGGUCAAGUUUUGCAGCUGCAGGACUGCAAAGGACAGGGUCAUUUUGGCUUUCUAGUUAAUGCCAGCCAGCUUCAAAAGGAUCCAGCUGGGAUCCAUGGUUCCUGGGAUCCAAGGUUUGACCCAGUAUAAUGACUUCAGAGCCAUGUCACUUGAACACAAAGCUGGCAGUACUGGAGUGAAUCCCUUCUCUCACACCACAGUACACUAGCUGCUUAGCUGUGCCAUGACACCUCUUUUUGGGCCAUGUUUUCAACAUGGACGAAUAACUAACCUAAAUUAUUAAAUGUCCUAAACAAGUGGUUUUAAGGGCAGAGCAGCUGAAAGAGCUGGGGAAGAAGUAGUUGUGGAUAGGAACACUGGCUCCAUUUGCUUUCUAUUCCAAAAGUCAGAGUAUUGGUCCUACCAGACAAUGUGCAAUGGUUGCAGUUUCUCCUACUAUGUUGAAUAGGAAGGUCUGUUUUAAAAGAUACCAUGGUAACAUUGCUGUGGCUUUGGAACUCACAAAUCUCUCAGUUUCAUCCUUGCCAAGGUCAGUGUUUGACAACAGUAUCAGGAAAGAAGAAAACACCACCAACUCACCACUGUAUGAAAACUCUUAAGAAUUAAGCUCUUCUGAAAGCAAGGAAGCUAAGGCUGCCCCAGCACUCCAACAGGCAGCAAAGAAAGGAUGCUGCAGAAUCAGGACUAUUGUGUUACUCAACAUAUUAACCCAAAAGUAGCUGCUUGACUAGUAGCUGCAAAGCAGACCUUGUACCCAAUGGCAGAGAUUCUGUUGCCAAGCAAAAUAAUUUUAAUAUACACUUAGGAAAAGGGCACAGAGAAAGUUCUAGAAGCUUUUUAGUCUGUAAUGUCAUUAUUUUAUACUCACCAUAGAAAGCAGCCCAGGAGCAGAGUGUUUCAGCUUGAAGUUUUCAUCUGCAAAAGGACCUCUAUAUAUACUGGCUACUCCAGUGCCAUCUCCCUGCAUGACAGAGGUACCCAGUCAGUGACAGCAUUUGUUCUGUAGCAACUGCUACAGAACAAUUCAAUUUAAAAAUUAAUUUAAAAUCUCCAAACAAGAUGAAAAGGCAAAAUGGAUUAUGUAUUGCCAUUUACAUACACCAGCAGGGAACACAUUCAGUGUUUAAUUUCCGAACAAGAACAGCAACCAGUUUCUAACCACACAGUUCACUGCUCACCAUUCAUAUGUUGGCAGAAGCCCGUGCAGAUGGUAAGUUUAAGUCCAAGCCUCCCAGAGUGAAGUGGAGGCAACUGAUUGCUUGGUACAGACCCAUCAGGACUUGGAAGGGAAAAGGGAAGAGACACAGAAGUAUGGGAUGGUGUGACAAAGAAAGCAGAAGUGGUUGCAUGGAAAAAAUUGGCUUACAGUGGUUUUAUGUAUUUCACCUUAUUUUCUGUGACUUUAUCGGAAAUAGGAAAGCAAUCUCUCUGUUCUACAAGGAUAGAUUCUAAAAUAAAGAUUUUCUGUUUAUGUUGUACUUUCUACUAAGCCAUUUUGCUCUACUUGCCCAGCCCUUAUUUGUUUCCCUCCUUCUCUCUGUAGUUUACUUAAACUUUUGGCUCUGAGAAAGAAACUUGCAACCCUGUCUCAGGGGUCAGUGUGACUGUGCUUGCUCUCCAGGUGGCUCUGUAAUAAAUAUAACAAAUAAAUUUCAAAUACUGGAGCAAUGUGUAAAGCUUGUUGAGAUGCAGUCGAAGUAAUACAUGCACUGGGACAUCUGAGCAGUGUCACAAUUAGCAACUACCACAGAGUCUGGUGUUGCUGGACUGCUUGCUGUGUGGUCAUUUCUCUCAGAGACUUUCAUACAACCAAGUUUUAUAUUAAAAAAAUCUUCAUUGCUUCCCUCAUAUUUUGAAACACUUCCAAAAGUAAAAUAAUUUUACUGAAUCCUAGAACAGCGAAGAGAUCCUGUGGCCCUUCAGCCUUACUCAUACAUUCUGCUUAUCCCCAUGUCAGAGCACGACCACCAUUGUGGGUGCAAAGACUUUUCUAUUUUGAGAAAAUUUAGUAACAAAAGGCUAGUUUUGAUUUAAAUGACGUCUUACAUUAUGCACUAGGUUCUGUACUUAGGGUCUAUCUACAAUCUGAAUUGAAAUUCACAGAGGUUUUUGCCUGGAGAAGGACAACAGAAGGGGGAAGGAAAACAGGGCAAACAAAAUUUUUCAAGUUUUGAAAGCUUCCAGGGUUUUGGCAGGCUACUGCAGAGAGAAAAUAUUUUGGGAAAAGUGCGUGUUCACCCAAGGCUCCAGAUUUGUUUUCAGGCGGUUUAAUGUCCGUUGCAGUAGGAUGGCAGCAAUGCUAUGAGGGUACCUCCAGUUACUACUGGAUACCUCAAAAAAGAAAGAGAGCCCAGUAGCAUGUUAUACCACAGAGGAAAAGGACAAAAAGAGUACAGGAGUACAUACAUUUACGAAGUCACCUCCUUGGAUCAUGAAAUCCUUUAUUACCCUAAAGAAGUAAAACAACACUUAAUUCUCAGUGGCCAAAAGCCUCAAGAAGCUCAGUGUAAGAUGAAAAGGGGUUCUGCCUUGCUGUGCAACAGAAGCUAAUAGUCUGUGAAUGCUGCAGCCUAAAAUCGACAACAAAUAUUAAUUAAUGGUUGAUAUGAAGUCAUUUAGGACUCAUUGCUUUUGAACAGGGAUACUCAUUACGUCAUAGAUGCAGUAUCUGACGUGGCACACCAGAAACAGGGGAUUCCUCCCAGUGGGGAGGACAGCAUCCCCAGGUCCCCCAAAGCCACAGAACUUCUUUACUAUGAUCUGCAAAUGUCUCCAACACCACUAACAGCUCAAGGUCACAGGUCACAAAACCCCACAUGGCUCAGGCUGCUAUUUAGUGUCAAAACAACAGUAGAUAAUUUACCUGUGGAAAGUGCUUCCUUUAUAACCUAUAGGGACACCAUCUUUCCUGUAGGGAAGUGAAAAGGAGAAUUAUUGCAACCUACUGGAUAUCCCAACACAAAAUCGUCCCAGCAAUUCAGAGUCCCAAAGGGUUGCCGUAUACAUUAGCAGCUGCCUUGAAAUACAACCAAAUGCCACAGCCUCUCAGCUGCUGCUGUUGGAGGCAAAAAAAAGCCUCAAGUGGGCUCUGCACAUGAAAUGACUCUGUUCUCUGCAACACCCCCACCAUCACCCACACAGGAUCCCACUGCAAUGUGCAGCAUGAGCAGGUGGGCUUUGCAGAUGGGGUUUUUUAGAGCCA